GUGUGUACCAAUAUGUGCAAGUGUAUUAACACUUUCACAAAUAUUUUCUUCAAAGAAGUUAAGUUAGCUCACUAGGUUCUAAAUGCAUGUACAUAAACAAUGACACCUAGUGGCACUUGAUAACCGUUUAGCCAAAGAAUUUCUCUCUUUAUAGUACAACUAUCUAUUCUAAAUGUGAUCACACCCUCUAUGCUGUCUUGAUCACCAAAACUAAAACCCUAAGCAAUACUUUUGUCUUGAUCUCCAUAGAGUUUUGUUUUUAUCUUUCUUCUUUUCCAUAUUGAGCACUUGAUCAUCUUGUAGUCAUCACCAUCAUUACCAUGAUCAUCACUUGGCAUGUACUAACCUCAUUAAGUCUACACAUACUUAAUAUAGAGAUUAGUACUAGGAUUUCAUCAAUUAUCCAAAACCAAAUUAGGGCUUUCACCGUGCUAUCUUAGUUGCCGAUGUCCUCCUUCCCCUCGUCAACGAGCCUGGCGUCCCCGCGCUACCUUCCUUCAUGAGGGAUCUUUCGCCUCUUCCUUCCUUCUGCCAUCACCAACAUUCUCUACCCUCCGCGCGUCAGCGCCCACCUCGUCUCUAUAAUAUUCACAUCUAAGUGUCACAUCUCCCUUCUCCUCUCUUGUUGAUCUGGAGCAAUGACAGACAUGAUUUUGCAACGUUGGGGUGUACAUAAUUUUUUAAAAAACCUAAGACUAUAUAUAAUAAUAAAUGUGAACAACAAUGUAUAAGACAUUAUUAAUAGUUUUCAAAUUUUCAUCCCCUACUUUUUAGUGCACUCCAACUGAUCUCCUAAAUUUCUUUUACUUAAUAUUGGACUUCCCUCACUUGUC
rnacentral:lncRNA from 1 species